GAUGAACGCUAGCGGCAGGCUUAACACAUGCAAGUCGUGGGGCAGCAUAAGGGUAGCAAUACUCUGGUGGCGACCGGCAAACGGGUGCGGAACACGUACGCAACCUUCCUCAAAGCGGGGGAUAGCCUCUCGAAAGAGAGAUUAAUACCCCAUAGUAUCUUGAAACUGCAUGGUUUUAAGAUUAAAGCUCCGGCACUUUGAGAUGGGCGUGCGGCUGAUUAGGUAGUUGGUGAGGUAAUGGCUCACCAAGGCUUCGAUCAAUAGGGGGUCUGAGAGGAUGUCCCCCCACACUGGUACUGAGACACGGACCAGACUCCUACGGGAGGCAGCAGUAGGGAAUAUUGGACAAUGGGCGCAAGCCUGAUCCAGCCAUGCCGCGUGCAGGAUGAAGGCCCUAUGGGUCGUAAACUGCUUUUGUACGGGAAGAAACAUAUUACGUGUAAUAUGCUGACGGUACCGUGAGAAUAAGGAUCGGCUAACUUCGUGCCAG
rnacentral:rRNA from 1 species